rnacentral:tRNA from 1 species
AUUAUAUGCUCUAGAUUUAGGAUCUAGUUAAAUAGAGAAAUUCUAUAAAUAGUA